AGCAGGAAGAGGAGGGAGACACGUGAUGAUCUCUUAACCCUAAGUUUCCCUGGGGGGCUGUAAAGUCACACUGAAAUCUUAUGUGAACAUGUUCAUGUUUGAUUUUUUUCACUUGUCCGUAAUAGACCACAGUGUUCCACUGCAAUUUCCCAUCAUCAUUCCUACCUCUGCUCCAGUUGCUGGUGCACAUCCUAUUUUUCACAGAGGUGGCAUUCAGCACCUCCUGCCCUCUCUCAGUGCCUUUGGUGACAAAGUGAGUACAGGGCAGGCUGUGGCUCAUGCCUGGGGUGCCAAUCUGUGCAGUCUGAAAACUUCAUGUCUCCAUUUGGCGGGGCCCAAGGCUCAGCUGCUGUGGUGCAAGCAGG